CACGUAGGGCGCAAGCGUUGUCCGGAAUUAUUGGGCGUAAAGAGCUCGUAGGCGGUCUGUUGCGUCCGCUGUGAAAACUCGGGGCUUAACCCCGAGCCUGCAGUGGAUACGGGCAGACUAGAGGUAGGUAGGGAGAAUGGAAUUCCCGGUGUAGCGGUGAAAUGCGCAGAUAUCGGGAGGAACACCGGUGGCGAAGGCGGUUCUCUGGGCCGAUACUGACGCUGAGGAGCGAAAGCGUGGGGAGCGAACAGG
rnacentral:rRNA from 1 species